rnacentral:rRNA from 1 species
AAGCGCUUGUGACCAGACUUGGUCCCGGGGGAUCAGCCGGCGGUCUUCCGCCGGCGCACUUCACCGGGCUUCCAGGCCAGCAUCAGUUCGCCCCGGGGGAUAAAGGCGGCGGGAAUGUAGCUCCACCGGGAGUGUUAUAGCCCGCCGCGCAAUACCCUGGGGCGGACUGAGGUUCGCGCGUCCCCGCAAGGAUGCUGGCGUAAUGGUCAUCAGCGA